GAGUUUGAUCCUGCUCAGAUUGAACGCUGGCGGCAUGCCUUACACAUGCAAGUCGAACGGUAACGGGUCCUUCGGGAUGCCGACGAGUGGCGAACGGGUGAGUAAUAUAUCGGAACGUGCCCAGUAGUGGGGAGUAACUGCUCGAAAGAGCAGCUAAUACCGCAUACGACCUGAGGGUGAAAGGGGGGAUCGCAAGACCUCUCGCUAUUGGAGCGGCCGAUAUCAGAUUAGCUAGUUGGUGGGGUAAAGGCCUACCAAGGCAACGAUCUGUAGUUGGUCUGAGAGGACGACCAGCCACACUGGGACUGAGACACGGCCCAGACUCCUACGGGAGGCAGCAGUGGGGAAUUUUGGACAAUGGGCGCAAGCCUGAUCCAGCAAUGCCGCGUGCAGG
rnacentral:rRNA from 1 species